AUAGACAGAAGUCAGAAGACCAG
rnacentral:piRNA from 1 species